AGGGCUUUGAUUUGAGUUAGGAAGGAAAGAUGGAGGAGAAAUGCUCUGCGGCUGAAUUUGCACUGUGUCUGAGGUUGGUACAGCUUUGAAAGGACCAUCACCAAAAGGAUCCUCAAACAUCUGCAAGAAAAGCGCAAACUUCAGUCAUCUACCAGAGAAAGAAGCCCGAGGAUCAAAUUCAUCAAAGCUCUCAAUAUCAUUGUUCUCUGGUGGAGCAGCAACUGGUACUGGAAUGGGCAAUGAAGCAGCAGCUGGUGCAGGAGCAGGGGUGGUUUCUUGUUUUGGACUUCCAAUUGCGUGAGUGAAGAAGAUUUAGGAGCAGAUGCUGAAGCUAUUUCCACAUUCCUUUUACAACGAAAAAUAAAAAUCAAUACAGAAUUUGCAAGAAAAAAGAAGUUCGGUUAAGAAUCUUCUCACACAACUAUUACCUUUCGCUGUGUGUGGGGCUUCGUGACGCACCAAUAGCUUCCUCAUAACUGGGAGGUGCAUCAAGGUUUUGUUCAGAAAAUCCUCUUUCAAGCUGCAUGGCAUUAACACUGAAAUUGAACAUGUAAAUUUUGUCAGAAAGGGAACCAUUCCCUAAUUAGUUUAUUGUUUGUUGUAUA